rnacentral:rRNA from 1 species
GACGAACGCUGGCGGCGUGCUUAACACAUGCAAGUCGAACGGAAAGGCCCUGCUUUUGUGGGGUGCUCGAGUGGCGAACGGGUGAGUAACACGUGAGUAACCUGCCCUUGACUUUGGGAUAACUUCAGGAAACUGGGGCUAAUACCGGAUAGGAGCUCCUGCUGCAUGGUGGGGGUUGGAAAGUUUCGGCGGUUGGGGAUGGACUCGCGGCUUAUCAGCUUGUUGGUGGGGUAGUGGCUUACCAAGGCUUUGACGGGUAGGCGGCCUGGGAGGGUGACCGGCCACAAUGGGACUGAGGUAGGGCCCAGACGCCUACGGGAGGCAGUAGUGGGGAAUAUUGCACAGUGGGAGGAAGCGUGAUGCAGCAACGCCGCGUGCGGGAUGACGGCCUUUGGGGUAUAAACCGCUUUCGCCUGUGACGAAGCGGGAGUGACGGUAAUGGGUAAAGAAGCACCGGCUAACUACGUG